rnacentral:rRNA from 1 species
UCAAGCCUACGGGGGGCAGCAGUGGGGAAUAUUGCACAAUGGGGGAAACCCUGAUGCAGCAACGCCGCGUGGGUGAUGACGGCCUUCGGGUUGUAAAGCUCUGUCUUCAGGGACGAUAAUGACGGUACCUGAGGAGGAAGCCACGGCUAACUACGUGCCAGCAGCCGCGGUAAUACGUAGGUGGCGAGCGUUGUCCGGAUUUACUGGGCGUAAAGGGAGCGUAGGCGGACUUUUAAGUGAGAUGUGGAAUACUCGGGCUCAACUUGAGUGCUGCAUUUCAAACUGGAAGUCUAGAGUGCAGGGGG